GCCAGCAGCCGCGGUAAUACCGGCAGCUCGAGUGGUCGUCGCUUUUAUUGGGCCUAAACGUCCGUAGCCUGUUUGGUAAAUCUGUGGGUAAAUCAACGAGCUUAACACGUUGAAUUCUGCAGAGACUGCCAGACUAGGGACCGGGAGAGGUAUGAGGUACUCUGGGGGUAGGGGUAAAAUCCUGUCAUCCUCAGAGGACCACCUGUUGCGAAGGCGUCAUACUGGAACGGAUCCGACGGUCAGGGACGAAGCCUAGGGGCACGAACCGGAUUAGAUACCCGGGUAGUCCUAGGUGUAAACGCUGUGGAUUUGGUGUGUGGGGUCCGCAAUGGGCCCCAUGUGCCGGAGUGAAGAUGUUAAAUCCACUGCCUGGGGAGUACGGUCGCAAGGCUGAAACUUAAAGGAAUUGGCGGGGGAGCACUGCAACGGGAGGAGCGUGCGGUUUAAUUGGAUUCAACGCCGGAAAACUCACCAUGGCCGACGGACAAAUGAAAGCCAGUGUAACGAGCUUGCUGGAUUGUUCGAGAGGUAUUGCAUGGCCGCCGUCAGUUCGUACCGCAAGGCGUUCUGUUAAGUCAGAUAACGAACGAGACCCUCAUCCCUAUUUGCCAACUGCGUCUCCGGACGCAGCGCACUAUAGGGAGACCGCUGUCGAUAAGGCAGAUGAAGGCGAGGGCAACGGUAGGUCAGUAUGAUCCGAAUGCCAUGGGCUACACGCGCAAUACAAAGGACGGGACAAUGGGCUGCAACUCCGAGAGGAACGACGCUAUCCCGAAACCCGUUCGUAGUUCGGAUUGAGGGCUGUAAUUCGCCCUCAUGAAGCUGGAUUAGGUAGUCAUCGCGUCUCAUCAAGGCGCGGUGAAUAUGCCCCUGCUCCUUGCACUCACCGC
rnacentral:rRNA from 1 species